CAUGAAUAUAAAAAUAAAGGGGUCAAAAAAAGAUUUUUAUAAGUGAUACGGUUGUGGGGAAGUUUCUGAUCACAUUGACACACCCCGUCCCGAAGGAGGGCAUGCUGGCCGUCACGUGAGAGUGACGUAACCAUUUACACAGUACGGAAGCUUUAAGAUACAAUUUAUAAGUUGAUACACCCGAAGGUGAGUCCUAAUUUUGUCCAUUCUGUCAGAACACCGUCGAAUUCCUCGUAGUCACCACACCUUUGUGAUUCCUGAACCUGGAGGGGCGCAAAACCAAAAUUGAGUGGGUCAGUAAAACAAUUCUUUUCCAAAUCCAAACAUUUCUCAAAACGUUGUAACCCCUCUCCGUAAAACCUGUAUACUUUCCCAGAAAUGUAAAAUAUAAAUAUACAUAUAUAAUCUCAAAACUUCAAAUCACUAUCUCAACAUUUUUCAUUACAAUUAUGCCAUGCCAUGUCUAAAUUCAACAGUAUAAUAUGAAUGCAUCAACAAUAAUUAUAUCAGGUGCAAGAAGUAAUCAACCGGAGGCCCUCUAAUAGCCCUGAACGGUUGAACCUAGAGCUCAAAAUCUAUCACUCUCACUCUGCCGGAGUCACCUCUGUGACCUGUACGGCCUUCUGCACACAAGUUACGCUCUAGUGCUUUCUCAUUAAUCAUCUGUGCACAUAAUCUAAGGUCACCCACCAGUCGAAAUCUCACUAACACUCUUCGACUGGCCCGUCGCACCCACUCCGCGUGGACUAUGCGACCAGCAUCUACUUGGAUCCAAGGCGAGCGUGCGAUGCGGUGAAUACUAUAAGCACUAAACCAUGGUGCAGGAUUUGAGCUCAAUAUAUAUCAACAUCAUCAUAACAGUAUUUAAAUACUCACCUGAUACUCACCUGUGCGUCCGCCGCACCAUUCAUUCAUAUGCAUCAUAUAACAAUUCAUACUUUUCAUAUCAUUUCAUGCAUGGCAAUUCGAUUCACAUUUCUAUAUACUUUGCAUAUAAUUUUAUGCAUGGCAUCUCAAUUCACGUUUUCAUAUAAUUCUAUAUACCUUUCAUUUAAAACAUAAUUUCAUUCUAAUUCAAUUUCUGGGAAAACGUCAAGUAUAUAUAUAUACGGAAAACAAAACUGCCCACUCACCUGGAGUUCGUCCUACAACUCCCUAGCACAAUACGCCAAGGCGUCAUGACGAUUGCCGCCUAGAACAGUAAUCAAAUCCAACCUCAGAAUUCAUAUCGAUAGAAUAUAUAACUUAUAUAAAAUACGUCACUACGUAGAUCGAUCCGGAAGAUCUGCCACUCAGAUUUUAAAUCCAUAACUUCCAGAGGUCCACAAUAUAUCUCUAGGACAACAUCCUAAAAUUUCAUCACCAUCCAACGGUUAGAUCUCCGUCAAUUAACAAAACUAAGUGACGGUUUACAUUCUAUUUUAUGAACUUACAACUCAAAUUCCGGAAGAUCUGUAAAUCGGAUUCCCAAUCCGUAAGUUCCUAUAAUCCUCAAAUAUUACGUAUUACAACGUAUCAAAGUUUGGUGACGAUCCAACGGUCGGAUCAUCAAUUCACAUUUUCACCUAAUGCGAAAAUUAUAAAACGUUAUUUGAACACCUAACCAACAAUCCUUAAUAACUUUCUCAUACGGUACUCAAUUUGGGUAUAUGAAUAUACCAAAGUGAUCUACUCGACGUCACGAACGUCGACAUAUUUUUAGAUUAUUUUUUUGAUGUGCCACGCGCCCCCACGCGCCAGGACAAGCACGGGGACACGCGCCCCCACGCGCAUCAUCCCCAACCUUGGUUCGUCGGACUGGUUUUUCCGGCGACCGGAAAACUGGAGAAUUUUCAAAUGCUUCGUUCUCCUUCGUUUCUCAACCAUUUUCUUCGUAUAAUAUAUCAAAUUGAAGCCCUCAACAUGUAGAAUCAUAAUAUACUACUUUAAAGCUCUAAAAACUACGAAAUCUUACCGGAAAAAUUCCACAAGAACCGGCCAACUUUGAACGUGGUGAUCCCGACGUCCAAAACUUCCAAACAACAUACUCCGAGCUUCCUUGGGACUUCCUAAAGCUCACUGUGAGCUUAGUUUGGCCUAAAACACAACCAAUUCAAAGCUCAUGAACAGUACACUUUCACGGGGAGUUUAGAAUCUAGGUUUUCCGAAGUAAAACUUACCUGAAAUUGGUGUCUACGUGAUCGUGGAGGUUCCAGGAGUUCGAUGGUGGUCUUAACUCCGUCGUUGGUAGAAGUUUAGGGUGGUUUUGGAGCUUGUCCGUGUGAGUUCGAAGGAGAGGGAGAGAGAACUGAGAGUUUCGUGAGGGAGGAGAGAGAGAGAUAAAGCACGGAAAAGAGGGAGAGAAUUUAGGGGUGUGGGAUCCUACCCAAUCCCCAACUACAAAUUCUAACAUAAAAUUUAAGUCUAAGUCUCCACUCUACUUACCAAAUUUUAGGAGCUUAGAUAUAACGAACGUAAAAAUUAUAC
rnacentral:lncRNA from 1 species